rnacentral:rRNA from 1 species
UGGGGAAUUUUGGACAAUGGGCGAAAGCCUGAUCCAGCAAUGCCGCGUGUGUGAAGAAGGCCUUCGGGUUGUAAAGCACUUUUGUCCGGAAAGAAAUCCUUGGCUCUAAUACAGUCGGGGGAUGACGGUACCGGAAGAAUAAGCACCGGCUAACUACGUGCCAGCAGCCGCGGUAAUACGUAGGGUGCAAGCGUUAAUCGGAAUUACUGGGCGUAAAGCGUGCGCAGGCGGUUUGCUAAGACCGAUGUGAAAUCCCCGGGCUCAACCUGGGAACUGCAUUGGUGACUGGCAGGCUAGAGUAUGGCAGAGGGGGGUAGAAUUCCACGUGUAGCAGUGAAAUGCGUAGAGAUGUGGAGGAAUACCGAUGGCGAAGGCAGCCCCCUGGGCCAAUACUGACGCUCAUGCACGAAAGCGUGGGGAGCAAACAGGAUUAGAUACCCUGGUAGUCCACGCCCUAAACGAUGUCAACUAGUUGUUGGGGAUUCAUUUCCUUAGUAACGUAGCUAACGCGUGAAGUUGACCGCCUGGGGAGUACGGUCGCAAGAUUAAAACUCAAAUGAAUUGACGGGGUCAUAGCUGUUUCCUU